rnacentral:sRNA from 1 species
AUUCUGCCCAAGCGGGGAAGGAUGAGAAGCUUCGACCAAGGUUCGACUUGAGCGCCAGCGAGAGAGCGUUGCCGCAGGCAACGACCCGAAGGGCGAAGCGCGCAGCGCUGAGUAAUCCUUCCCCCCCCACCA